GCCGGCUUAGCUCAGUUGGUAGAGCAUCUGUAUUUGUAAUCAGGAGGGUCGCGUGUUCAAGUCAUGUAGCCGGCA
rnacentral:tRNA from 1 species